rnacentral:rRNA from 1 species
AACAGGAUUAGAUACCCUGGUAGUCCAUACCGUAAACGAUGAAUGCUAAGUGUUGGAGGGUUUCCGCCCUUCAGUGCUGCAGCUAACGCAUUAAGCAUUCCGCCUGGGGAGUACGGCCGCAAGGCUGAAACUCAAAGGAAUUGACGGGGGCCCGCACAAGCGGUGGAGCAUGUGGUUUAAUUCGAAGCUACGCGAAGAACCUUACCAGGUCUUGACAUACUAUGCAAAUCUAAGAGAUUAGACGUACCCUUCGGGGACAUGGAUACAGGUGGUGCAUGGUUGUCGUCAGCUCGUGUCGUGAGAUGUUGGGUUAAGUCCCGCAACGAGCGCAACCCUUAUUAUCAGUUGCCAGCAUUAAGUUGGGCACUCUGGUGAGACUGCCGGUGACAAACCGGAGGAAGGUGGGGAUGACGUCAAAUCAUCAUGCCCCUUAUGACCUGGGCUACACACGUGCUACAAUGGAUGGUACAACGAGUUGCGAACUCGCGAGAGUAAGCUAAUCUCUUAAAGCCAUUCUCAGUUCGGAUUGUAGGCUGCAACUCGCCUACAUGAAGUCGGAAUCGCUAGUAAUCGCGGAUCAGCAUGCCGCGGUGAAUACGUUCCCGGGCCUUGUACACACCGCCCGUCACACCAUGAGAGUUUGUAACACCCAAAGUCGGUGGGGUAACCUUUUAGGAACCAGCUGCCUAAGGUGGGACAGAUGAUUAGGGUGAAGUCGUAACAAGGUAACC